rnacentral:rRNA from 1 species
GUUAGGAAUAUUGGACAAUGGGCGAAAGCCUGAUCCAGCCAUGCCGCGUGAACGAUGAAGGCCUUCGGGUUGUAAAGUUCUUUAGCCGAUGAUUAUAAUGACUGUAAUCGGAAAAUAAGCCCCGGCUAACUUCGUGCCAGCAGCCGCGGUAAUACGAAGGGGGCGAGCGUUAUUCGGAAUCACUGGGCGUAAAGCGUGCGUAGGCGGUUUUGUAAGUUAGGAGUGAAAGCCCAGGGCUCAACCUUGGAAUUGCUCUUAAAACUGCAAGGCUCGAAUCUCGGAGAGGAUAGAGGAAUUUCCAGUGUAGCAGUGAAAUGCGUAGAUAUUGGAAGGAACACCAGUGGCGUAAGCGGCUAUCUGGACGAGUAUUGACGCUGAGGCACGAAAGCGUGGGGAUCAAACAGGAUUAGAAACCCGUGUAGUCC